AUGGCCUUUGAAUUCGAUCUGAGGAAAGUUAUUGGUGAUUCUAGAGAGAUUGCUUCUGUUCUUUACAGUGAGAAGACCAAAGGCAGCUGGGAGAGCCAUACUGAGCAAUUAGUUAUCUGCAUUUGGAGAUGUCCAUUAAAAGGAAGUUUCCCAGGGAAAAAUAAAAUAAUUAGAUUACAAGAUGGAAUGAGCCCAUCACAGGUGCUAUUUCUAUCAUCCACCCCAACUAUGCUUUGCAGUGAGCAUUCUCCCAGAGACACCCUGAGCAGCACAAAAUGGAGAAGAAGGGGCAAGCAAAUCACACCUACCCCUGUGGGAGAGGAUAGUCCUAAAACAGAUCAACCAACAACAGAGAAAGAAUAGCUCUACAUCCUUGAUGAGUUAUUUACUUGGUAAAAAGGAAACCCAGGUCAUCGUAUCCACCAUGAACAGAGCACUCAAACAGAACAAGACCAAGAUGAGCCCAGAUGCCAUGAUGUGAAGAACAAACAGACUUUGGGGAUCAGAGAUGGUAAGAAUCAGAAAUUCCUGCUGGUGCUCAAGUAUAUGGACAAGCUGUUCAUACCGCUGAGGGGUCAUAUCGAUUCUUUUAUACGGUUUUUUGUUUAUUUUUUUAAUAUUGAGAGGCUUUUUAUUUUUUACAAUUUACCUUAAAUCUAAAUACCAGUUCUUUGAACUACUUCAGAAAAAAAUCAAAUUUAGCUUUUGAUUUUGAAAUUAAGUGAAAAAAAACGAUCAAAAAGUCAUUUUAGUACGGGUUUGAGUUAUUUUACCAUUUAGAAAUUGUCUAAUUAGCUAAGUUAAUAAGGAGUGGCAUUAGAAUUUUACUCUUAUGCAAAUCAUGUAAAAAUCAUUAACAGCCAUUGUUAAAUGAAAUGACUCCUAAACAAAUAAGCAUGUGCUAGUAAACCCUUCAAGUUUUGUGGAGCCAGAACCAAUGCAGAUUAGAUGGAAGCCAUAUCAGAGCUGAUGCAAUUUGGGUUAGAGGCUCUAUGUCAUCUAUAAUCGAUCAAGAAAACAAAGUCUUAAACUACAUCUUGUAAAUUGCAAACAAAUGAUGUGUAUAUUCAACACUGAAGAUUUAGUCUCCGUAUAGUGCUUAUAAAGUGAAAAGAAUAUGUAUGUGUAUACCUAUAUAUGCUCAUAUAUAGAUAUACACCAUAUACAGUGAUAACUCGCAUUAUUAUAAAAAACAUUUCUGACAUAUUAUCAGGGGAAGUAACUAUCUUCUUUUCUGUCUUUUUUUUUUUUUUUUUCCCUAGGACCACACACGCGGUAUAUGGAGGUUCCCAGGCUAGGGGGUCUAAUCAGAGCUAUAACCACCGGCCUAUGCCAGAGCCACAGCAACGCCAGAUCUGAGCUGCGUCUGAAACUUACACCACAGCUUACACAACACUGGAUUCUUAACCCACUGAGCAAGGCCAGGGAUCGAGCCCACAACCUUAUGGAUCCUAGUCGGAUUCGUUAACCAUUGAGACAGACAGGAAUUCCACUAUCUUCUUUUAUGAAAGUCACUUUUAUUUUUUCUAAUCAUAUUUAAACUCCUAGAUGGAGAAAACCAGCCAUAUCCAUCUUUGAAAGGCAGUCUAAUAGAAAGCAUGGACUUUGGUGCCACAGAAACAUGGGUUCAAGCCCAGACAAUUCUUGCAACCAUUUGGUUUUAAGCAAGUCUCAAACUAUCUGAUUCUCAGGCUUUUCAAGUAGUAAUUCCUUGUACUACUUAGGUACUCCACUCAGCCUCACCUAUUCCUUUCUAAGUAGCCAAGACCUAUGUCUUGCACAGGUAAGAAUUCAAUUUAUAUUCACUGAAUUAAUUCAUAAACAGUUGCCGCAAAUUCAAAUAAAAAUCCUUUCCUAUAUAUCAGCCUUUGUCUGUUUACUUGUUUUAUGCAUGAACAAGAACCAUUCCCCUUUUGUUUGACUUCUACACUGAGUUGAUUAAUCCACUUCUCAUCCUGUUCAAUUUCCCUUUCUCUGAAGAACAGUUUUAUUUCCAAACUUGCAGAAGUAAUACUUGCCCAGCCUUUGCACAGAAAUAUCCAAUGAAUGUACAGGAUGAAAUGCCUCAAGAGUCAUUCAGAGUUUGGCAAGUAAUCUAUGAAGUAACUGGAGCAAAGCACUCUACUCUAUGGGCAUGACAUCUCUGUGUGGCCAAUCAGAAGUGCUCUCUCCUGCUGUCCUGCCGAAGACUCGGAAACUGGCCAAUCAGCAAUGGGUGGAUAAUGGGUGGGGCAGGUAGAGAGAUUGAGAAGAAUGGCUGCAAAUAAAAGAUCCUUAUUGCUCUUCAGGAUCUGGGUGGUCUUUCACUUCUAAUUUUUAAUCACAUUUAUGCUUUAAAUGUCUAGUUUUCCUUUAAGUGGCUUAUGUGAGUCUCGAAUCCUGGCAGCCCAAAGAAUAAAACUAAUUAAACUUUUUGGCACAUC
rnacentral:lncRNA from 9 species